rnacentral:rRNA from 1 species
UACGGAGGGUGCGAGCGUUGUCCGGAAUCACUGGGCGUAAAGGGCGCGUAGGUGGCGGGAUAAGCGUGUGGUGAAAGCCCGGGGCUCAACCCCGUGUCUGCCAUGCGGACUGUCUUGCUCGAGCGUAGUAGAGGCAGGUGGAAUUCCGGGUGUAGCGGUGGAAUGCGCAGAGAUCCGGAAGAACACCGGUGGCGAAGGCGGCCUGCUGGGCUACUGCUGACACUGAGGCGCGACAGCGUGGGGAGCAAACAGG